GGUCGUAUAGUGUAGUGGUUAUCACCCCGGAUUUUGAUUCCGGUGACCCCGGUUCGACUCCGGGUAUGACCA
rnacentral:tRNA from 1 species